UUACCAUCUGCGUGAGUUCCCUAACUCUCUUUCUCUCUCUCUCUCUCUCUCUCUCUCUCUCUCUCUCUCUCUCUCUCUCUCUAAUGGAUCUCGUGGGUGGAUUCAGAUUCAAUUAGCUAGUUUUCACUUUUCCCUUCCUUUGCCUUUUCUUCUUGGGUUGUUUUUCUCUUCUUAGGGUUGAAUCCCUAUUUUAAUGGAGUAUUUCAGCAAUCGCUCGAAUCUGAUAGUUUUGGCUGGAAUCCGACGUGGGUAUCCUUGAUUUUUGGAAGGCAGACUUCGCCGGCAUCUGGUCGGAGAAAUCAACCCACGCGUACGGAAAUUUGAAUUUUCAAAGUAUUUGCCACUUGCUAGGUUCUAAAUACUAAUACCCAUCCCUUUUGGUUUUCGUGUUGACGUUUCCAUGAUUCCAAAAAUACGUUUCUCCAUUUUUUUUUGUUUAAUAAAAAUAAUAAAUUAAAAAAAUUAAGGGUUUUGUUGUCUUUUGUCUGUGUAAGAGGUCAGCUUCAGUUGAGAAGGGUGGAUUCUUCUCGGGCACCUCACGUCAUCUCUUCAGUUUCCGCCAUUGGUAACUGAUCACGUCAGCUCAUGCUCGUGGCCUUGAUGCCACUUAAGUUGCACACGUACAGAUGUUAAUUAACUGCUCCAAAAAAUGAGCAACAGAUAAAGCGUAAAUCAAAAUUAACGACCCCAUUCUUCUACUUUUUGAAAAAUUUUAUUUGCAUUCUUUUGGUAGCUCCUCCUCGAAUCCUGAGUUGCAAUUGUGCAUGGAAUGAUGAAUGAGGAUAUAUAUGUAUAUAUAUAUAUAUAUAUAUAGAUUGACAGUUGUUGUUUGCGGGUGUAGCAUCAUCAAGAUUCACAUGCAAACGCACGCGUGAUGAUGCAAUCUCCAUCAAUCGAUCUGCUGGUGUUCUGUGUUCUUGAGAAUCUUGAUGAUGCUGCAUCGGCCAUAGACGACUACACAAAUCGAGGGUUUGAUCGAUCGCAAAAGUCUGGAUAUGCUUUUUAUUUUCGGUUUCAUUCUCUCAAUUAUUAUUCACGGACAAAAAUAAAAGGUGGGUAUCUCUGAUUCUUCUUAAAUGAAUUAAUUCACUCAUUGGAGCAUUAAUUAAUCCAUUAAUGGAUUCUGCAGGGCUAGCUUGAUCGAUGUGCGUGUGUUUGUAAUUACUUGUCAUUGUUGAUCUGCAGAGGGCCAGGGAAUUUGUGGGUUAAAUUCUCCAAGGAGGCCAGGUCUGAUCGGAUGAGCGACCAGUCGAGGACGUUACAGAUCUAUGAUUAUUCUUCUGAGAAAAGAAAGCUGCUUUUGUGGAAAUGGUACGUCUUUGCUGAGCUUCUUGUGGGGAUCAGAUCAGAAUUUUUCUAUACAGUGCCUUUAUAUUGUUAAAAGAUGCAUGCUUGCUGCCAGGGGAGAGCUUUGAAAGACUUUCUUCAUGCUUUGCUGGGAAUUUGCUUUGUCCAUCUGAGAAUGAGGCCUUUAAGGGAUCUUGACAUCAUCCACUGCAUACUACUUGUUAUUAUUCGGAAAAUGUUCGACAAGUAGAAGAUGAAUAUGCAAAAUAUGUGUAGGAUCUACUGACUCUGAUGAAUCUUAAUUCGUGCAAACAGCAUCUGUUGCAUAAUACCAUACCUUUUUCUUUUUGAAAGUUAUCCAGUGUUAGGAUUUUCGCUUCAGCCAAACACAAAGCCAGAAGCUAAUUUUUAAUUGCCCGUUUGGGGACUAAAUAUAUGGAUUACACUUGCAGGAAAGAUAACCUGCCUUCCUCCACU